rnacentral:rRNA from 1 species
CCUACGGGAGGCAGCAGUAGGGAAUAUUGCUCAAUGGGCGAAACCCUGAUGCAGCAACGCCGCGUGGCGGAUGAAGGUUUUCGGAUUGUAAACCCCUUUUGUUAGAGAAGAUAAUAACGGUAUCUAACGAAUAAACACCGGCUAACUACGUGCCAGCCGCCGCGGUACUACGGUGGGUGCAAGCGUGACUCGGACUCACUGGGGGUAAAGAGCGCGUAGGCGGGAUAGCAAGUCAGAUGUGAAAUCCUAUGGCUUAACCAUAGAACUGCAUUUGAUACUGUUAUUCUAGAGUAUGGGAGAGGUAGGUGGAAUUCUUGGUGUAGGGGUAAAAUCCGUAGAUAUCAAGAGGAAUACUCAGUGCGAAGGCGACCUGCUAGAACAUAACUGACGCUGAUGCGCGAAAGCGUGGGGAGCAAACAGGAUUAGAUACCCCAGUAGUC